GAGAUCCUGGAGCAUUCUGGGGCCGACUUUCCCCCUGGAUUGGUUGGGGCUUGGAGGUUGGGUCCUUUCCCAAGGUAUUCUGUACCCUGUCAACUUAUUUACCAGUGAGGCUCAGCAGAAAUGAGGCUUGUUAGAACAGCAGGGCACAGGCUGAGCUGGAGCGCCUAAUCCUCGGGACCCAGGGAACUUCUGAAACCCCCAGCCGAGGGAAGGGGAGGAAGGGCACUUCUGCCUGACUUCUCCUAACUGGGGAGGGUCAAGUAUGGUAUUAACGCAGGGGACAGCGCUUUUAGGAAACUUUAAGAAGCACUUUAUAUAAAUGCAGCUGACUUUUGAACUGCCACCGUCUCUUUUCCUGUUCACCUGAAGCUGAACUGGCAUUAGGAAACUGAAUCAGUUUAUUCCCGGAAAGGAAUUUCAAAGACCCAGGUCUGUUCAGUUCUUGGAAGAAGAAACCUGGUGGUGGAUGGGCACCGGCCGAUUCGCAGCACCCAACACCAGUCACUGCGCACAGACUGCGGCCCCGCGGCCCUCCCUCCCCGGAGUUCUGGGUCCGAAGAUGAAGAAACUGCCAUUCUGAGACUCCAGAGAGCUUAUGCAAGUGCUAGAUUCUGGAUUCACUCCCAGACCUGUCUGACUCCAUGGUCACAUCGCCUCUGGGGCCCACAAGUUUGGAUGGAUAACACUGGAAAAAGCAGGUGAGGAAGAAACAGCUAAGAGCCAGCUGGAGCUUGGAGAGAAGAAAGAAGCAAGUUUAGGAGCCAGUGUUGUGACUGUAAGCUGAAGAGAGAGGUGGAGAAAAUGGAUUUUAAAACUUUUCGUUCUGUAGAAUCUCUUUUGGCAAUUUUUUUUUCAAGAGGCUAAAGAUAUUAAAUGGUUUGAAACUA